rnacentral:ncRNA from 1 species
GGCAGUGUCACAAGUGAUGGUUCUGACGUCCCGACCAUUGGUCGUCAGAGAAUAGGGAACAUGGUGCGCCUUACGGCAAUUCCGCGACUGCCCCCGCAACUGUAGGCGGAGAGCCUGUCUGACAAACCACUGAAGCGAACCGCUUUGGGAAGGGUUGGACAAGCAGAGACCCGCAAGUCAGGAGACCUGCCAUCAGAGUUGAAACGGAA